GAGUUUGAUCCUGGCUCAGAUUGAACGCUGGCGGCAGGCCUAACACAUGCAAGUCGAGCGGUAACAGGGAGAAGCUUGCUUCUCUGCUGACGAGCGGCGGACGGGUGAGUAAUGUAUGGGGAUCUGCCUGAUGGAGGGGGAUAACUACUGGAAACGGUAGCUAAUACCGCAUAAUGUCUUCGGACCAAAGCGGGGGACCUUCGGGCCUCGCACCAUCAGAUGAACCCAUAUGGGAUUAGCUAGUAGGUGAGGUAAUGGCUCACCUAGGCGACGAUCUCUAGCUGGUCUGAGAGGAUGAUCAGCCACACUGGGACUGAGACACGGCCCAGACUCCUACGGGAGGCAGCAGUGGGGAAUAUUGCACAAUGGGCGCAAGCCUGAUGCAGCCAUGCCGCGUGUAUGAAGAAGGCCUUAGGGUUGUAAAGUACUUUCAGUCGGGAGGAAGGUGUUGAGUUUAAUAUGCUCAGCAAUUGACGUUACCGACAGAAGAAGCACCGGCUAACUCCGUGCCAGCAGCCGCGGUAAUACGGAGG
rnacentral:rRNA from 1 species